rnacentral:rRNA from 1 species
GAUCCUGGCUCAGGAUGAACGCUGGCGGCGUGCUAACACAUGCAAGUCGAGCGAAGCGGUUUUAAGGUAAGUUUUCGGAUGGAAUUAAAACUGACUGAGCGGCGGACGGGUGAGUAACGCGUGGGUAACCUGCCUCAUACAGGGGGAUAACAGUUAGAAAUGGCUGCUAAUACCGCAUAAGCACACAGCUUCGCAUGGAGCAGUGUGAAAAACUCCGGUGGUAUGAGAUGGACCCGCGU